rnacentral:rRNA from 1 species
GACGAACGCUGGCGGCGUGCUUAACACAUGCAAGUCGAACGGAAAGGCCCUGCUUUUGUGGGGUGCUCGAGUGGCGAACGGGGGAGUAACACGUGAGUAACCUGCCCUUGACUGUGGGAGAACUUCAGGAAACUGGGGCUAAUACCGGAGAGGAGCUCCUGCUGCAUGGUGGGGGUUGGAAAGUUUCGGCGGUUGGGGAUGGACUCGCGGCUUAUCAGCUUGUUGGGGGGGUAGUGGCUUACCAAGGCUUUGACGGGUAGCCGGCCUGAGAGGGUGACCGGCGUCAUUGGGCCUGCGAUACGGCCCAGACUCCUACGGGAGGCAGCAGUGGGGAAUCUUGCACAAUGGCCGGAAGUCUGAUGCAGCAACGCCGCGUGCGGGAUGACGGCCUUCGGGUUGUAAACCGCUUUCGCAUGUGACGAAGCGUGAGUGACGGUAAUGGGUAAAGAAGCCCCGGCUAACUACGUG